UUCAGCCGGCUCAGGGUUCGUUCAUUGGCUCAACUCAAUAGUGGCCGCGUAUCAGCCAUCUUCCUACACUUGGUGUCAGCUCUCUGUCUUCUCCGCUGGUGCUGGUCAUGCUCUACCAAUACUAGAGAACGAUCUUUUUGGAUUGGGUAAUGCACUCACCUGCCAACAAGGUGAAGAUGAGACUCAGCCGGGACAUUGCAGCACACAGACUCCUUGGUCCAGUCUGGCAAAUGGUUUAUAUAUUGCCCAUUGUGGGGAGGAAGGGGAAUUCCAGUGGCGUUAUCCAUAGUGCAAGUCAUCAGUUGAAGGACAAACAGACUCACAAUUGUCUUAAUGGAGGAGGAGCUUGGACGUAUAACUGGCACCUGAUUGGCUUGUGGACUACAGAUUUACCAAUCAGGGGACAGUGAGACACAUUUAUAUGGCUUUUUCAAAAGUGAUUGGCUGACCUGUGUUCAACCAAUCACAUUUGAAAGGUACAUUCUCACAGAAGCAAAUACUGACAGUAUGGUUCAUUUAUACAUGCAUUAGUCUUGGAUUUGUUUAAAGCAGACCAAGAAAACCUAAUUACAAAGUUUUCACUGAGUACAUCUCUAAUCUCUGGAUGGAAUCCCAACCAAAUCUUGACUACUAAAUGGCAUCAAGUUGGUUAAGGGAAACGUACACACCAGGGAAUAUUUGAGCCCACAGACAGAAUUAGGAUCUUUGCUGUUACUCCCUCAUGGAAACCCAGGCCUCAAAUAGCAAAUUGAAAUGCUGCUCAAAAUGUAUUUGUCAAAUUUUCUAGAAAAUUCUUAUUAAAAAUAAAUAAUGUAAAUAAAACUUCAAGGCUCUAUAAUUCCCAAAAUAUUAAACAAAUUAGGUAAAAACAGAGUUUGUGCAUUUUAAGCUUUUACAGAUUAUACAAUCAGUGUCUAAUAUCAUUGAAUAAAAAGCUUUCUUUACAGGAUAAAGUAUCACAGAUACUUGUAUUAUGCACCAACACUACUCUCAACAAAUGGAAGAAUCUGAGUGCCUGAAAUAUUUUAUAUCAAACUGAUUAGCUUCACAGAUUAUGUGUAUCACAGGUGCCUGUCAUUUAGUGAGCUAAUGAAUGAGUUAGGCAAUGGCAACCUGCAUUGUUGUGAAAUUAAUAGUGCUUCCCACAGAUUAGUGGUUGAUAAUCUCAUAAAUGCAGGAGUUGCUCUUAAUUUUAACCUGAAUCACUCAGUCUCUUCAUCUAUAAACUUAUUUGAAGUGAAUGUAGGUAAGUGGGGAGUAAAGGAUAACAGCUGAAUGGUCAUGAAUAGAUGAUAGUCCAAUUGAUUUUUCACUUCAGAUCCUACAUUUCCCUAUGUACAAUAAUAGCCACUAUUCUUUCUUGCAUGUAUGUCAUAAGAGGAAGUGAGUCUUAUCUCAUUCAUCUCCAGUAAAAAAGAGAAAAAAAGUUCCAUCCUGAUUUUAAAAUAAAGCAACUGCACCAGUCUGGCACUAAUGCCUAACAGUAAAGCCUGACUUUUUGUCUGUUUUUUUGAUUGCCAUCUGCUUUCGGUGCACAGUCUAGCCCAGUCUGAACCCUCUUCAGCCAACUC